rnacentral:rRNA from 1 species
UGUUGGCUUAGAAGCAGCCAUCAUUUAAAGAAAGCGUAAUAGCUCACUGGUCGAGUCGGCCUGCGCGGAAGAUGUAACGGGGCUAAACCAUGCACCGAAGCUGCGGCAGCGACACUGUGUGUUGUUGGGUAGGGGAGCGUUCUGUAAGCCUGUGAAGGUGUGUCGUGAGGCAUGCUGGAGGUAUCAGAAGUGCGAAUGCUGACAUAAGUAACGAUAAAGCGGGUGAAAAGCCCGCUCGCCGGAAGACCAAGGGUUCCUGUCCAACGUUAAUCGGGGCAGGGUGAGUCGACCCCUAAGGCGAGGCCGAAAGGCGUAGUCGAUGGGAAACGGGUUAAUAUUCCCGUACUUGGUGUUACUGCGAAGGGGGGACGGAGAAGGCUAUGUUGGCCGGGCGACGGUUGUCCCGGUUUAAGCGUGUAGGUGUGUGUUCCAGGUAAAUCCGGUUCACUUUAACACUGAGGCGUGACGACGAGGCACUACGGUGCUGAAGCAACAAAUGCCCUGCUUCCAGGAAAAGCCUCUAAGCAUCAGGUAACAUCAAAUCGUACCCCAAACCGACACAGGUGGUCAGGUAGAGAAUACCAAGGCGCUUGAGAGAACUCGGGUGAAGGAACUAGGCAAAAUGGUGCCGUAACUUCGGGAGAAGGCACGCUGACACGUAGGUGAAGUGAUUUACUCAUGGAGCUGAAGUCAGUCGAAGAUACCAGCUGGCUGCAACUGUUUAUUAAAAACACAGCACUGUGCAAACACGAAAGUGGACGUAUACGGUGUGACGCCUGCCCGGUGCCGGAAGGUUAAUUGAUGGGGUCAGCGCAAGCGAAGCUCCUGAUCGAAGCCCCGGUAAACGGCGGCCGUAACUAUAACGGUCCUAAGGUAGCGAAAUUCCUUGUCGGGUAAGUUCCGACCUGCACGAAUGGCGUAAUGAUGGCCAGGCUGUCUCCACCCGAGACUCAGUGAAAUUGAACUCGCUGUGAAGAUGCAGUGUACCCGCGGCAAGACGGAAAGACCCCGUGAACCUUUACUAUAGCUUGACACUGAACAUUGAGCCUUGAUGUGUAGGAUAGGUGGGAGGCUUUGAAGUGUGGACGCCAGUCUGCAUGGAGCCGACCUUGAAAUACCACCCUUUAAUGUUUGAUGUUCUAACGUGGACCCGUUACCCGGGUUGCGGACAGUGUCUGGUGGGUAGUUUGACUGGGGCGGUCUCCUCC